rnacentral:rRNA from 1 species
AGAGUUUGAUCAUGGCUCAGGACGAACGCUGGCGGCGUGCCUAACACAUGCAAGACGAACGGAGAAUUUCAAAGAGUUUACUCGGAGAAAUUUUUAGUGGCGGACGGGUGAGUAACGCGUGGGUAACCUACCCAUAAACCCGGGACAACCCUUGGAAACGAGGGCUAAUACCGGAUAAUCUUAAGGCUUGGCAUCAASCUUUAAGAAAAGGUGGCCUCUGAAAAUGCUACCGAUUAUGGAUGGACCCGCGUCUGAUUAGCUAGUUGGUGGGGUAAAGGCCUACCAAGGCGACGAUCAGUAGCCGGCCUGAGAGGGUGAACGGCCACACUGGGACUGAGACACGGCCCAGACUCCUACGGGAGGCAGCAGUGGGGAAUCUUCCGCAAUGGACGAAAGUCUGACGGAGCAACGCCGCGUGUAUGAUGAAGGUCUUCGGAUUGUAAAGUMCUGUCUUUGGGGAAGAAUGAUGUGCUUGAAAAUAUUGAGUGCAUAUGACGGUACCCAAGGAGGAAGCCCCGGCUAACUACGUGCCAGCAGCCGCGGUA